rnacentral:rRNA from 1 species
GACGAACGCUGGCGGCGUGCCUAAUACAUGCAAGUAGAACGCACAGUUUAUACCGUAGCUUGCUACACCAUAGACUGUGAGUUGCGAACGGGUGAGUAACGCGUAGGUAACCUGCCUGGUAGCGGGGGAUAACUAUUGGAAACGAUAGCUAAUACCGCAUAAUAUUAAUUAUUGCAUGAUAAUUAAUUGAAAGGUGCAAUUGCACCACUACCAGAUGGACCUGCGUUGUAUUAGCUAGUAGGUGAGGUAACGGCUCACCUAGGCGACGAUACAUAGCCGACCUGAGAGGGUGAUCGGCCACACUGGGACUGAGACACGGCCCAGACUCCUACGGGAGGCAGCAGUAGGGAAUCUUCGGCAAUGGACGAAAGUCUGACCGAGCAACGCCGCGUGAGGGAAGAAGGUUGUCGGAUCGUAAAGCUCUGUUGUAAGAGAAGAACGGGUGUGAGAGUGGAAAGUUCACACUGUGACGGUAUCUUACCAGAAAGGAACGGCUAACUACGUG